GACGAACGCUGGCGGCGUGCUUAACACAUGCAAGUCGAACGGUGAAGCGCCUUCCUUUUUGGUGGGUGUGGAUGAGUGGCGAACGGGUGAGUAACACGUGAGUAACCUGCCCCCUUCUUCUGGAUAACCGCAUGAAAGUGUGGCUAAUACGGGAUAUUCUGGGUCUGUCGCAUGAUGGGUCUGGGAAAGAUAUUGUUUCGGUGGGGGAUGGGCUCGCGGCCUAUCAGCUUGUUGGUGGGGUGAUGGCCUACCAAGGCGGUGACGGGUAGCCGGCCUGAGAGGGUGAACGGUCACACUGGGACUGAGACACGGCCCAGACUCCUACGGGAGGCAGCAGUGGGGAAUAUUGCACAAUGGGAGCAAGCCUGAUGCAGCGACGCCGCGUGAGGGAUGGAGGCCUUCGGGUUGUGAACCUCUUUCGCCAGUGAAGCAGGCCUGCCUCGUUUGUGGGUGGGUUGACGGUAGCUGGAUAAGAAGCGCCGGCUAACUACGUG
rnacentral:rRNA from 1 species